AUUUGACAAACCACUUAAAGGAUGAAGUGAGAUGUUCUGCAUCCAUGUUCUUUAAAUAGUACAACUUUUUUAAAACAAAUCGUGAUACAUUAUAAAACAGAUUAAGGGUCUGUCCCUCUCGUAUUUUCCCUGUGACGGAUAAAUGAGAUCCGGCCAUCUUUGAGGACAGGAAGCGAGGAGACGCUGAUGGCGCCCGACUAGAAACCAUUACCGACUAUUCGCUUUCAAAGGUCUAUUUUAUUUCGCCUCAUUCGCGAGCGUGAAGAGCAAAAUACUCGUCAAUUCAAGUUCUACAUUAGUGAGUGACAGACACUUCCCACAGAGCAGAGAUGGACUCUGAGGAGAUGGAGGUGGAGAGCAGCAGUGAUGUGGGGCAUUCUGGGAUGGAGGAGCCAUCAGAGAGCGGCAUGGGCAUGGAGUCUUCAGAAGCCAUGUCUGCUGAUAGCAGCGAUGCAGCGGCUCCUCCUGCCCCGGCCCCAGAGUCAGACUGUCACGUAGGACAGAGCUCUGAGGGACUUGUGGUUUUUAUCCCAGAAACCAGCUCCAGUACAGAUGUGCGAAGAGUUCAUCUCCCAGACUCCUCUUCUGUCGCACAGUCGACCAGUGUGUCCAGCGUCUCCACAGUGACACAGUCGGUCCUGGUGUCAGAGUCUGUCCAGGUCCUGGUCCACUCCAGCGCUGUUUCUGAAGGAGGAAUGAUGGUUUCUGAUUCCACUGCUUCCACCUCCUCAGAUCUGGGCUCAGCUAUCGACAAGAUCAUCGAAUCCACCAUUGGACCUGACAUUAUGAAUGUUACGAGUGCAGAGGAUGGCAGUGCAGAGACCACACAAUAUCUGAUCCUUCAAGGACCUGAUGAUGGAGCUCCUAUGGUGGCUCAGAUGUCUUCCUCUGCUCUGUCAAGCCGCGUUGCCAUUGAAGCCCUUGCCGAUGGACCUACCUCCACUUGCCUGGACCAGGCAGACCUGUCAGAAAACCCACAGGGCAGCAUGGAACCCGACCAGCCUGGACACUCCGGAUACCGUGAGCAUGACGACAGCAGCAGCAGCUGCAGCCGCCCAGACCAGACGCAGCACUCCCAGUACAUAGAGUGCAGCGGAGGAGACGACCCGGACCAGACCAGAGAGGCUCGCUACAUCGAGUGCUCAGGAGCCGAACCAGACCAGACCCCACGUCAUUCAGGGGUCACCAACUACAACAUGGCAGACUCAGAAGAACCUCUAGGGCGUUACGCAGCAGAGUGCAGCGGUACGAACAGUAGCCCUCAGAGACGCUCGUUUCGCUCCUCUCGGUACAUCGUAGAGUGCAGUGAUGACUACUUGGAUUACGGGGCUGAAGGUGGGGAGCGACCGCAGCAUUCACAUUAUAUAGACAGCAGCAUGGAUGACAGGGAGCACGUCUCGGCAUCAGAGCAAGAGGAAAGUGUGGUAGAAGAGGCCCAGAACUCCUACUUACCACAGGGCUCGCUAUAUGCUGACGAGGGUACGGUUCAGCACUCACUGGCUGACACUGUGGGAUCCCAGCUCACUGACCAAAUGGACUGCAAUGAUAACUUGCCUGGCUCAUACAUAAGUAGCAGUGGGACCUAUUCCACCCACGCAGAGCCUGAAGCGGUGGAGUCUGGGGUGGUGGAGGAGCCUGGGCACAGAACCCCAGAUAUGGCUGAGCUAGAGGAAAUGAUGGAGGUGGUGAUCGUACAGCAGUUUAAGUGUAAGAUGUGCCCAUAUAAAAGUGUCUCCAAGGAUACGCUCAUCAACCACAUGAGAGACAAACACUUUAAACCACCAGGCCAAAAGAAACGUGGACGGGGACGUCCUCGAAAAUCCGAGAGCAGGGCACGAGCGGUCACUGAGGUCAAGAAGGAGGAGGCAGCAGAAGAGGAAGAAGAUGACAUCAUUGAUGCAGGCGCUCUUGAUGAUCAAGGUGACCGUGAUUAUAAGCCAGCUGUUGAAGAGGCCAGGUCCAGAUUGGCUUCCAGUCACAGCACUCCUCCUCCUCCUCCUUCCUGCUCUUCAUCAUCUUCCUCUACCUCACGGAAACGGCCCCGCAGGACAGUGGGGCCACCCCGCAAAUUCCUUCUUGACUCAGAGCCACCAGCAGCAACUCAAACAAGAAAUGCAGAGGACCCUCAAGAUCCGGAAGAAGCAAGUUCGUCAGGAUUGGAGAAUGGUUCUACCUCUCUAUCCAACGGGUCAGCAGUGGAACCAGUCGUCAGCCAGUCAGAUUCAGAAAACAAAGAUCCCUCGUCAAACACAGGCCCUGAUGACCUGGAGUUUCUGCCCAAAAAAAGAGGAAGACCAUCUAAACGGUUCCUUCAAAAGAAGUACAAAAAGUACAUGAAUCGCAACAAGUACUACAGAUCCCUUAAGCCUCUACUAAGACCUCAUAAUUGCUGGAUCUGUGGCUCUCGCUUUCUUUCACAAGAGGAUCUCAGAUUCCAUGUGGAUUCUCAUGAGGGAAAUGACCCUGAAUGCUUUAAGUGCCUGCAGUGCAGCUACCGCUGCAAACGCUGGUCCUCACUGAAGGAGCACAUGUUCAAUCACGAAGGUACAAAACCAUACAAAUGUGAGAUGUGUGAUUACUCCAGUGUUUAUAAGAAAGACGUGAUCCGACACUCAGCUGUCCACAACAAAACCAAGAGUCGAAAGACCGAUAUGGUUCCUAAAGUGUCCGAGUUUCCAUGCCCCAUCUGCGGUCGCGUAUAUCCCAUGCAGAAACGCCUGACGCAACACUUGAAGACACACAGCACAGAGAAACCUCACAUGUGUGACAAGUGUGGGAAAUCCUUCAAGAAGCGCUACACCUUCAAAAUGCAUCUUCUCACACACAUUCAGAACUGUGGCAACAGCAACUUUCAGUGCGAGUUCUGUGAGUACACCUGCAAUGACAAGAAGCACCUGCUUAAUCACCAGCUGUCCCACACUAACGACAAACCGUUCAAAUGCGAAGAGUGCAAAUACUCCACGAGUAAAGAGGAUUUCCUGUUGUCCCAUAUUGCCAUUAAACACACUGGUGAAAAGCCCUUCUCAUGUGACAUGUGCCACUUCACGACCAGACACAGGAAGAACCUGCGGCUGCAUGUGCAGUGUCGGCACCCCGAGGCCUUCGAUGAGUGGAGCCGAUCCCACCCAGAGGAGCCAAUUCGCCGGCGCCAGACGUCUGUUUUCACCAUGCAGCAGAUUGAGGAAUUGAGAUUACAGCAUGAACCCCAGGAAUUUCAAGGGACCAUUGUAACAGUGGACCCCAUUACUCUCCAAACCAUGGAGUCCAUAGGGAAAACAUCUGUAUCUCAAGAUGCACUAGGAAACACUACCAUCAUUUAUGAGCAAGCCCAGACAUCAGACCUCGCAGCCCAAAAUGCUCUAGAUCUGCUGCUGAACAUGAGUAACGCUAGAGAACUGCAGGUGGCAGUGUUGAAACCAGACGGGAAGACCCUGGAGACGGGGUCAUGGACGGGAGCUGACUCUGGGACUGAGGGCUCAUUCUUGCAGCCUCAAAAGAUCGUCACAUUCCAUGUGUCAGAGAACGGGGACACUCUGGUGCAGGAGGCGUUUGAGACGGCUACGGAGACCGUGGAGCAAGAGGAGACAACGGAUGUGUCGCAAGAGGUGACACAGAUUGGCAUGGGUACAUACGAGGGAGCAGAUUUCAGUGUGGUGGAGCAGGCCUCCGAAGAGACAGCACACAGCAGUUUAGAGGAACCCUCAGCUGAGCCUCAGCUCAUGGAAGUGAGCACCGAGCCCUUGUCCAUCUCUACACCUCUCAAAGAGAAUAAAGAGAAGUUUUAUUUGAGUUCAGACUUCACGGAUGGAGUUCUGCAGCAGGUAGAGCUAAGCAGUGAAGCUCCAGGUUCCCCUCCUCUGUGUCCAUCACCCGCUUCUAAACAGCUGAACGGCAAGCGCUUCUCCUGCCACAUCUGCAUGGAGUCUUUCCACUGCCGCUCGGACAUGGAGAACCACAAGAGGGCGCACAUAGGCCCCAAAACAUUCAAAUGCCCCGACUGUGACUUUACAGCACCUUCUUGGCCAGAAGUCAAGUCUCACAUGGCCAUGCACGCAUAUUUGAGGCCUCAUAAAUGCAACAGCUGCAGUUUUGCCUCUAAAAACAAGAAGGACCUGAGACGCCACAUGAUGACACACACCAACGAAAAGCCUUACGCCUGUCAAAUCUGUGGCCAAAGGUUUAACCGUAACGGCCAUCUGAAGUUCCACAUGGAGAGGCUUCAUACUCAGGAACCCUCGCCCCAAAAAACCCGCUCUGUCCCCUCCAAACAGACCAUCAUCGUUAACAGUGAUGAAGAAGCUUUAGCCACACUGCAGAAUCUGCAGACGGGUCAGACAGUCAUCAGUCCGGAGAGGUUGCAGCAGGCUUUGGGUCAGGAACACAUCAUUGUGGCUCAGGAUCAGACUCUUUCUGACCAGGAGGAGGCAACAUAUAUUCAGCAGAUCACAACAGUAGAUGGACAGACAGUGCAGCACUUAAUGACUGGAGACAAUCAGGUCACUGAGGUCCAGUAUAUCAUCUCUCAGGAUGGAGUUCAGCAUCUGCUCCCGCGGGAAUAUGUGGUGCUAUCUGAAGGAAACCACUUUCAGAUGGAGGAUGGGCGGAUCGCUCACAUUCAGUAUGAGCAUGACGGGACGUUUCUGCAGGAGCAACAGAUUGCUCUGUCUCAGGAUGGACAGAUCCAGUACGUCCCCAUCACUGCCGAGCCUGAGGACCUGGGGGCAGCCGCCCAUUCAGCGGUCACAGCUGUUGCAGAUGCAGCCAUGGCUCAGGCUCAGACGGUUUACACCGAGGCCACACCUGAACAGCUGGAGCAGCUGCAGCAGCAGGGCAUCCAGUAUGACGUCAUCACCUUUACUGAGGAGUAGAAACAAGACACAUACACACAGAUCCUCAGAUGACUGCAGUGGACACUCCAAACUCUGACAGUCACAAGAGGUGACGUUUAUUCUGCAGAACAACACGGCAGAUGGACAGACGGUGGAGCACCUGAUGACCAGACACAGUGAAAUCACUGAGGUAACUUCUGCUGCAGUUUUAAAGUAUCAAUAUAAACAGAUUGAAAAGCCUCAGUCAGAUGGACGUAUGAUCAAAUCACAGUCUGACAGUUUUUGUCUCCAUCUCUUCUUCUGUCUUCCAUUGCCCAGGUCAUGUAUGUGAGCUCUCAGAAUGGAGUUUAACAUUUACAGCUUUUGAUGCACUCUCAAGGCAACCGAGUUCAGUUUACAAAAAAUAAAAACAAAAUUUAAAUGUAAAAAAAAGUUGCUGCAAUUAGUUAACCACUUAACAUUUGUUGAGGUAACAUUCCAGUUUAAAUUUAACUAAACUUUUAAUUUCAAGCAUGAACACUGAUAUUUUUUUAUUUUAUUUAAAAUGAUGAGAUAACUCUUCAUUUUUGGCAUGUGCUAUUUGACAAAGUUUAUCCAUAAUUUCUCCAGAAUGUUUUCCUUCAUAAUUCUGCAGGAACUCUAGAUGUAAAUUGUGUAGAUUAAUUGUAUAGUGCUAUUUUGUCUUAUCCUUUCAUUAAAGUACUUUAAGUGACUUACACACCAGUGGUGAGAGUUUAUUUAACAAUAUUUUGUGACAAUCUGCUCUGUAGCUAAAUUGUUAAGGUUAAUUUUUCAUUUGUUCUCAUUUAAUGAAAUCAUCACGUAUUGUAAUUUGGUGUUGGGACUGAUGAGAACUUGAACUCAACCGUCAUUCUAUGUUAAGACAUUCACUGCUUAUGAUGAACAAACCUCUUUCAAACUCUAUUCAAGGACAACAGAAAAUUUAAAAGUAACACUUCUACUUGCCAUGACAAUAGAAAACUUAGAGAAAUACAACAGAAACUUAGAGAAAUACAACUUUAAUGUGGUUGUUAUGUUUAAGUGGUAUUUCAUAUUCUUCUUAAGAAGCAGUCAAAAAUACUUUUCUAAUGUGUAAAAAAGGCUGUACUUCCUUUUUUGUCAGUUGUUCGUCAUAGUCUUGUGUUUAGAUCGGUCGUUCCUCAAUUUGACUGGAAAAGAACAUAGAGUUCACAAUUUUACCAGAGUGAGUUCAGCUUUUUAAAGAAUAUUUGAAAUAUUAGAGAGGAAAAUGAAGCUGAUUUUAUUUCUUCUUGUCCUCUUGGAGAACGGAAUGAAUUCAACAGCAGGGCUCCGUGUGUUUUAUUUUUCACAGGAAAUUAUCUUACAAUAUUUCUUUAACACAUAUUAUAAUAAUUAUGAAAUAUCUUGUUGUAAGUUAUAUCAAUCAGAGUGCAUCAUCUUUGUUAAUAACAGAGGAUAUGCUUCAAACCUGUAUAGAGGAAGAAUAUUCAUCACUAAUUAUGAUGGAAUAUUUCAAGUAAGAAUGACAAAGCUGAGCAUACAGGAUGCUGGCAGAUACAGAUGUGGUGUCCGUGGCAUCCCUGUCACUUAUGAAGAUGUUCAAGUUACAGUUUCUGAAUUAACACGCAUCGCAGUAAACACAGUUCCUCUCUUGCCAAAAUUCUCCAUCAAACCAUCAGUCUGGCCCUCUACUUCUCCCUCUCCCUCUUUGCCAACUGUUUCUGAAGACGACAAAGAUAAACUAAGCAGUGACAGCUGGAGAGCAUCCUACACAUUAGCUGCAGUUUUAAGUGUUCUGCUGUUUGCUGUCAUCUCUGCGACACUGCUCGUGUACCGUCUAAACACCAGGAAGAAGAAAUCCACAGGUAAAAGUGAAAUUUGUGGUUCUCCUAACGUCUCCAAGGAGCAGAAUGCCAUCAUCUACUCUAUGGUGGAGUUUAAGCCCCAUCAGGAUCCAUCUGAACUUUAUGCCAAUUUACAGAUGCACAACCCAAAAGACUUUUCUUCAAACUCUAACGUCACAGUAGAGGAAAGUGUAGAAUAUUCCACUAUUAUUAGAGCACCACCAUAAACAUUCGCAAUAAUUUUGUUCUAUGUUUUCAAUUGCUUUGAUUUGUUUUUUGGUUGCUUUUGUUUUCUUGAGAUAUUUUUUUCUUAUAAGAUAAAAAAAAAAAAACAAUAUUAUUAAUUCAACACUGUACUGAUACAGCAGAAGUAUUUUAUUCUUGAAAAUUUAAUUAUGAUGAUAAAUGCCGGAAAAUGUCUAUAGAAGUAAAAUGUAUUAUCUAAAAAAUA